rnacentral:rRNA from 1 species
CCUACGGGAGGCAGCAGUGAGGAAUAUUGGUCAAUGGACGCAAGUCUGAACCAGCCAUGCCGCGUGCAGGAAGACGGCUCUAUGAGUUGUAAACUGCUUUUGUAAAAGGGUAAACCUGAAUACGUGUAUUCAGCUGAAAGUACUGUACGAAUAAGGAUCGGCUAACUCCGUGCCAGCAGCCGCGGUAAUACGGAGGAUCCAAGCGUUAUCCGGAUUUAUUGGGUUUAAAGGGUGCGUAGGCGGAUUGAUAAGUUAGAGGUGAAAGUUCCGAGCUUAACUCGGGAACUGCCUCUAAUACUGUUUGUCUAGAGAGUAGAUGCGGUAGGCGGAAUGUAUGGUGUAGCGGUGAAAUGCUUAGAGAUCAUACAGAACACCGAUUGCGAAGGCAGCUUACCAAUCUAUAUCUGACGUUGAGGCACGAAAGCGUGGGGAUCAAACAGGAUUAGAUACCCCGGUAGUC